UUAAAACCAAAAAAAAA
rnacentral:sRNA from 1 species